CCAGAACCUUGUUGUUUCCGGAAUCAUCUCUGACCUUCUCUCUUUUGUCCACUCCACAGGUUCUUGUGUGAGAGCUGAGGCCUUUCCCAGACACAACAGAAACCAGAGGCUGUGGUUGAUCUCAUGACUUCCUCCUCAUUGUUUGCCUGUCUGUGUGACUGGAAACCGGCAGUGACGGACAGAUGACUCCGGUCACUCUUAAACCAGGCUUGUGGAGAAACUGGACCUGGCUCCCCUUUAGAAGUAGUGACUAAUAAAGGCCGACGGCAGAGCGCCGUGCUUUUCCCACACUUCUGAGGCAGCGUAACCUGUCAUGCUGACCUUGUUGCUCAACUCUGCUUUCAGCUUGAUGUCCAAAUUAUACCAGCACACUGCUGUCAAGUUGCUGAAGUGGUUUACACACAAUCCUGCACCCAGUGGUCAUUGGGGUCUUCAUUCGCUAACGCUCUGAUGACAUCUGACACAUCAGUGAUAGGAUUUGGGCCCCGUAUGCUGGAUUAGCCCCAUUUGGUUAGCAAGGCAUUAUUCCAUUAUGAGUCCUGAGAGCCCACCAGCUGAUGCUGCGUCUGUCCCGCUGCCUGAAUGCAGAAAUCCAGAAGCGAACGCAUGAAUGGCACGAAGACGGGCAGCCGUGCUCUUCACACGUCCUCCAACAACCUUGCUGAUUCUAACUCUGGAAAAUAAUUACUAUCCACUUC
rnacentral:lncRNA from 1 species